rnacentral:rRNA from 1 species
GACGAACGCUGGCGGCGUGCUUAACACAUGCAAGUCGAACGGUGAAGCGCCUUCCUUUUUGGUGGGUGUGGAUGAGUGGCGAACGGGUGAGUAACACGUGAGUAACCUGCCUCCUUCUUCUGGCUAACCGCAUGAAAGUGUGGCUAAUACGGGAUAUUCUGCGUCUGUCGCAUGAUGGGUCUGGGAAAGAUAUUGUUUCGGUGGGGGACGGCCUCGCGGCCUAUCAGCUUGUUGGUGGGGUGAUGGCCUACCAAGGCGGAGACGGGUAGCCGGCCUGAGAGGGUGGACGGGCAGACUGGGGAGGAGGCACGGCCAAGACGCCUACGGGAGGCAGCAGUGGGGAAUAUUGGACGAUGGGCUGAAGCCUGAUGCAGCGACGGCGCGUGAGGGAUGGAGGCCUGCGGGUUGUGAACCUCUGUCGCUAGGGAUGCAGGCCUGCCUCGUCUGUGGGUGGAUUGACGGUAGCUGGAUAAGAAGCGCCGGCUAACUACGUG